rnacentral:tRNA from 2 species
GGAGGUGUUGCUGAGCG